UCCCUGGUGGCUCAGAGGUUAAAGCGUCUGCCUCUGAUGCAGGAGACCUGGGUUUGAUCCCUGGGUCGGGAA
rnacentral:tRNA from 1 species